rnacentral:rRNA from 1 species
ACUCAAAUGAAUAGACGGGGAGGCGCACAACCAGUGGAGCAUGUGGUUCAAUUCGAGACGAACCGAAGAACCUUACCAGGGUUUGACAUGCUAUCGUUUUAGUCCUGCAGAAACGUGGGAUGAUCUUAUUGAAAAAUGAGAUGAUAGCACAGGUGUUGCAUGGCUGUCGUCAGCUCGUGCCGUGGGGUGUUCCCUUCAGUGGGGUAACGAGCGCAACCCCUGUCCCGUAUUAAAUAUUUACGGGAGACUUUUCAUCCUUGUGAUGGAAGGAAGUGGGGACGACGUCAAGUCAGCAUGGCCCUUAUGUCCUGGGCUACACACAUGCUACAAUGGAGCCGACAAUGGGUUGCCAAGCCGCAAGGCGGAGCUAAUCCCAUCAAACGGCUUCUCAGUGGGGAUUGAGGGCUGCAACUUGCCCUCAUGAACGCGGAAUUGGUAGUAAUCGGGUAUCAGCUACGGCCCGGUGAAUACGUUCUCGCCUCUUGUACACACCGCCCGU